GCCAGGCACGGUGGCGUGUGCCUAUAGUCCCAGCUACUCAGGAGGCUGAGGAGUGAUGAUUGCUUAAGCCCAGGAGUUCUGGGCUGUAGUACACUAUGUUGAUUGGGUGUCCACACUAAGUUCAGCAUUAGUAUGUGACCUCCUGGGAGCGGGGGACCAGCAGGUUGCCUAAGGAGGGGUGAACCGGCCCAGCUGGAAAUGGAGCAGGUCAAAACUCCCGUGCUGAUCAGUAGUGGGAUCGCGCCUGUGAAUAGCCACUGCAUUCCAGCCUGGGCUACAUAGCAAGAUCCCGUCUCU
rnacentral:SRP_RNA from 1 species